rnacentral:rRNA from 1 species
UAAAAUUAUUUUUAAUAAUAUAUUAGAAAUGAAAUGUUAUUCGUUUUUAAAGGUAUCUAGUUCUUUAAGAAAUAAAUUUAAUUUAGAAAUUUUAUAUUAUUUAAUUUAAUAUAUUAAUUAAAUAAUUAUUGAAUUUUAGUAUUUUAUGGGAUAAGCUGUAAAAUAAAAUUUUAUAAAUUUGUGAAUAAAUUAAUAAAUAUAAGCUUAAAAAUAGUUAUUAUUAAUAAAAAUGUUAUAAUUUAUUUUUAUUUUCAUAUUAAUUAUUUAUAUUUUAAAUUUUUAUUAAAGUAUUUAUUUUAAUUAAAAAAAUGAAAAAAUAAUGAUAAAAUUAGUAUAUUUUAUUGUAAUUAUAAAUAAAAAUGAUAAGUUUUUUUAAAGAACUCGGCAAAAAUAAUAUUCGCCUGUUUAACAAAAACAUGUCUUUAUGAAUUUUAUUUAAAGUCUAACCUGCCCACUGAAUAAAAUUUAAAUGGCCGCAGUAUAUUGACUGUGCAAAGGUAGCAUAAUCAUUAGUCUUUUAAUUGAAGGCUGGAAUGAAUGGUUGGACGAAAUAUUAACUGUUUCAUAAAAAUUUUUAUUAGAAUUUUAUUUUUUAGUCAAAAAGCUAAAAUUUAUUUAAAAGACGAGAAGACCCUAUAAAUCUUUAUAUUUAAAUUAUUGUAAUUUUUUAGGAAAAUUUUAUUAUAAUAAUUAAUAAUAUUUUAUUGGGGUGAUAUUAAAAUUUAAUAAACUUUUAAUUAAUUUUUAUCAUUAAUUUAUGAAUAAAUGAUCCGUUAUUAACGAUUAUAAAAAUAAGUUACUUUAGGGAUAACAGCGUAAUUUUUUUGGAGAGUUCAUAUCGAUAAAAAAGAUUGCGACCUCGAUGUUGGAUUAAGAUAUAAUUUUAGGUGUAGUCGCUUAAAGUUUAAGUCUGU